AUCUCUUCUUGGCCUUUUGGCUAAGAUCAAGUGUAAUAUGCGAAUUCAGUAUAAUGUUCUGUCUAACCUCUGCAUGUUAUCAUUAUCUUAAUCUUGAAAAUAAAAAAAAACAGGAGUCAAAUUCACAUCCUAUGAUUUCAAUUUUC
ensembl:snRNA U2 U2 spliceosomal RNA